GGAUUUUAAUUUGUACUAAGCAUAACGAUAUCAACAGUGUGUUUGAAAUUCUCUGCACAACAAUUGAUGAAAGACAAGCAAAGAUGAACAUCUUACAUAGCGUCAACAACACUUCGUUACCCGAACUGUAUAAUGACACAGAUUUGAAAACUGUCAUUGUUUAUGAAGCAGCACUAGCUACAGUAUUGACGAUUUGUGUUAUUUCAUCGUGUUUAUUCAAUAUAAUAAUUAUAAUUGUGUUUAUGAGAUUCAAAUGCCUGCGGACAAAACAUGAUAUGCUUGUCAUUAACCUUGCAUUUACAAAUCUAAUUAUAACUGUGGGAAUUUCGUUUUAUUCUACUUAUACAAUAGAACCAGGAGAUAUUUUUCACCAGAAAGUCGUGUGUAUGGGCUUGUUUAUAUGUAUAUUUGGAGGAAUACUCACGUCCUUAUUGGUGCUUCUACUUCUGAGUCUUGAGCGAUUUUUGUGCAUCGUCUACCCUCACUUUCAUGGCCGGAUCCGAAUUCGCCAUGUUAUAUUGUGCAGCAUCCUUGCAUACCUGGUAGGUCUGUCAUAUGCCAUUAUUCCAUUCAUAUUAAAGAAUAACUGGGACCGUUAUCAUCUUUGUGUGUUGGAUGUGUUUCCGUUUGAAUUCAGUAUUGCAGAACAGGUUAGUGGCAUCGUUAUUAUAACGACAAUUGUAACAAUUAAUGUUAUUGUUUACAAAACAGCUCUUUCUCAAGCGGCUAAAAUAAAUGUUUUACUUAAAAACGUACAGCAUAGGCACACAAGAAGCCGUAAAUUAAGACAAAAGGGGAAAGCUUUUGUGACUGUCUUUCUAUUGUCGGGUAUAUCAGCUGUAUGUUGGAUUCCUUUACUGGUAGUUUUCGCAUUAGAAUCAGACCCCAAUUUACCGGAGAAAUUUAGAUGGAUAUUCACUCAGUUACUGUACGUUCCGGUAGCGGUGAAUUCUUCUGUCACUGCCAUUAUUAUUGGACAUAGAAACAGGCAUUUCAGAGAUGCUAUUAAAUCUAUGUAUUGCAGAAAACAACACGAAUGUAUUCAGAACAGUACGUAUACCUUCUGAUUGAUAGUUAUUAUAUCACAGAAGUUAGCAGGGUUUUAGGUUUUGUGAC
rnacentral:lncRNA from 1 species